UACAGAGAGUGCGAACGUUGUUCGGAAUUACUGGGCUUAGAGCGCACGUAGGCGGCGCCGCAAGUGCGGGGUGAAAUCCCACGGCUUACCCGUGGAACUGCCUUGCAGACUGCGGUGCUCGAGGAUGGUAGGGGAGAGCGGAACUCCUGGUGGAGCGGUGAAAUGCGUAGAUAUCAGGAGGAACACCGGUGGCGAAGGCGGCUCUCUGGUCCAUUUCUGACGCUGAGGUGCGAAAGCUAGGGGAGCAAACGGG
rnacentral:rRNA from 1 species